rnacentral:rRNA from 1 species
CCUACGGGUGCUGCAGUGGGGAAUAUUGGACAAUGGGGGGAACCCUGAUCCAGCCAUGCCGCGUGUGUGAAGAAGGCCCUCGGGUUGUAAAGCACUUUCAGUGAGGAAGAACGCCUGGUGGUUAAUACCCAUCAGGAAAGACAUCACUCACAGAAGAAGCACCGGCUAACUCCGUGCCAGCAGCCGCGGUAAUACGGAGGGUGCGAGCGUUAAUCGGAAUUUCUGGGCGUAAAGCGCGCGUAGGUGGCUUGAUAAGCCGGUUGUGAAAGCCCCGGGCUCAACCUGGGAACGGCAUCCGGAACUGUCAAGCUAGAGUGCAGGAGAGGAAGGUAGAAUUCCCGGUGUAGCGGUGAAAUGCGUAGAGAUCGGGAGGAAUACCAGUGGCGAAGGCGGCCUUCUGGACUGACACUGACACUGAGGUGCGAAAGCGUGGGUAGCAAACAGGAUUAGAUACCCCAGUAGUC